GGUUAAGUGACUAAGCGUACACGGUGGAUGCCUUGGCAGUCAGAGGCGAUGAAAGACGUAGUAACUUGCGAUAAGCCCAGAUUAGGUAGUAACAACCAUUUGAGUCUGGGAUUUCUGAAUGGGGAAACCCACGUGCAUAAGCACGUAUCCUUACCUGAAUACAUAGGGUAAGGAGGCGAACCGGGGGAACUGAAACAUCUAAGUACCCCGAGGAAAAGAAAUCAACCGAGAUUCCGAAAGUAGCGGCGAGCGAAAUUGGACUAGCCCUUAAGCUUUACACGCGUUAGACGAACGGUCUGGAAAGUCCGACGAUACAGGGUGAUAGUCCCGUAGUUGACGACGUGUGUUCAGUGAAAUCGAGUAGGGCGGGACACGUGAUAUCCUGUCUGAAUAUGGGGGGACCAUCCUCCAAGGCUAAAUACUACUGACUGACCGAUAGUGAACCAGUACCGUGAGGGAAAGGCGAAAAGAACCCCUGUGAGGGGAGUGAAAUAGAACCUGAAACCGUGUACGUACAAGCAGUAGGAGCAGGCUUGUCCUGUGACUGCGUACCUUUUGUAUAAUGGGUCAGCGACUUAUAUUCAGUGGCAAGGUUAACCAUCUAGGGGAGCCGUAGGGAAACCGAGUCUUAACUGGGCGUUCAGUCUCUGGAUAUAGACCCGAAACCAGGUGAUCUAGCCAUGGGCAGGUUGAAGGUUGAGUAACAUCAACUGGAGGACCGAACCGACUAAUGUUGAAAAAUUAGCGGAUGACUUGUGGCUAGGGGUGAAAGGCCAAUCAAACCUGGAGAUAGCUGGUUCUCCCCGAAAGCUAUUUAGGUAGCGCCUCGGACGAAUACUACUGGGGGUAGAGCACUGUUAAGGCUAGGGGGUCAUCCCGACUUACCAACCCUUUGCAAACUCCGAAUACCAGUAAGUACUAUCCGGGAGACACACGGCGGGUGCUAACGUCCGUCGUGGAGAGGGAAACAACCCAGACCGCCAGCUAAGGUCCCAAAUUACUACUAAGUGGGAAACGAUGUGGGAAGGCUCAGACAGCCAGGAUGUUGGCUUAGAAGCAGCCAUCAUUUAAAGAAAGCGUAAUAGCUCACUGGUCGAGUCGGCCUGCGCGGAAGAUGUAACGGGGCUAAGUAGUAAACCGAAGCUGCGGCAAUAUACUUUUGUAUAUUGGGUAGGGGAGCGUUCUGUAAGCGGUUGAAGGUGUGUGGUAACGCAUGCUGGACGUAUCAGAAGUGCGAAUGCUGACAUGAGUAACGAUAAAGGGGGUGAAAAACCUCCUCGCCGGAAGACCAAGGGUUCCUGUCCAACGUUAAUCGGGGCAGGGUAAGUCGACCCCUAAGGCGAGGCCGAAAGGCGUAGUCGAUGGGAAACGGGUUAAUAUUCCCGUACUUCUUACAAUUGCGAUGGGGGGACGGAGAAGGCUAGGUGGGCCUGGCGACGGUUGUCCAGGUUCAAGUGCGUAGGCUUAAGAGUUAGGUAAAUCCGGCUCUUUCUAAGGCUGAGACACGACGUCGAGCAUCUACGGAUGUGAAGUCAUUGAUGCCAUGCUUCCAGGAAAAGCCUCUAAGCUUCAGAUUGUAAGGAAUCGUACCCCAAACCGACACAGGUGGUCGGGUAGAGAAUACCAAGGCGCUUGAGAGAACUCGGGUGAAGGAACUAGGCAAAAUGGUACCGUAACUUCGGGAGAAGGUACGCUCUUGAUGGUGAAGUCCCUUGCGGAUGGAGCUGACGAGAGUCGCAGAUACCAGGUGGCUGCAACUGUUUAUUAAAAACACAGCACUGUGCAAAAUCGUAAGAUGACGUAUACGGUGUGACGCCUGCCCGGUGCCGGAAGGUUAAUUGAUGGGGUUAGACUUCGGUCGAAGCUCUUGAUCGAAGCCCCGGUAAACGGCGGCCGUAACUAUAACGGUCCUAAGGUAGCGAAAUUCCUUGUCGGGUAAGUUCCGACCUGCACGAAUGGCGUAAUGAUGGCCACGCUGUCUCCACCCGAGACUCAGUGAAAUUGAAAUCGCUGUGAAGAUGCAGUGUACCCGCGGCUAGACGGAAAGACCCCGUGAACCUUUACUACAGCUUGGCACUGAACAUUGACCCUACAUGUGUAGGAUAGGUGGGAGGCUUUGAAGCACGUACGCCAGUAUGUGUGGAGCCGUCCUUGAAAUACCACCCUUGUAGUGUUGAUGUUCUAACGUCGACCCCUAAUCGGGGUUGCGGACAGUGCCUGGUGGGUAGUUUGACUGGGGCGGUCUCCUCCCAAAGAGUAACGGAGGAGCACGAAGGUGGGCUAAUCACGGUUGGACAUCGUGAGGUUAGUGCAAUGGCAUAAGCCCGCUUGACUGCGAGAAUGACAAUUCGAGCAGGUGCGAAAGCAGGUCAUAGUGAUCCGGUGGUUCUGAAUGGAAGGGCCAUCGCUCAACGGAUAAAAGGUACUCCGGGGAUAACAGGCUGAUACCGCCCAAGAGUUCAUAUCGACGGCGGUGUUUGGCACCUCGAUGUCGGCUCAUCACAUCCUGGGGCUGAAGUCGGUCCCAAGGGUAUGGCUGUUCGCCAUUUAAAGUGGUACGCGAGCUGGGUUUAGAACGUCGUGAGACAGUUCGGUCCCUAUCUGCCGUGGGCGUUGGAAGAUUGAAGGGGGCUGCUCCUAGUACGAGAGGACCGGAGUGGACGAACCUCUGGUGUUCGGGUUGUGUCGCCAGACGCAUUGCCCGGUAGCUAAGUUCGGAAUCGAUAACCGCUGAAAGCAUCUAAGCGGGAAGCGAGCCCUGAGAUGAGUCUUCCCUGAUACUUUAAGUAUCCUAAAGGGUUGUCGGAGACUACGACGUUGAUAGGUCAGGUGUGUAAGUGCUGUGAGGCAUUGAGCUAACUGAUACUAAUUGCCCGUGAGGCUUAACCAU
rnacentral:rRNA from 1 species